rnacentral:rRNA from 1 species
UAGGGAAUCUUCGGCAAUGGACGAAAGUCUGACCGAGCAACGCCGCGUGAGUGAAGAAGGUUUUCGGAUCGUAAAACUCUGUUGUUAGAGAAGAACAAGGACGUUAGUAACUGAACGUCCCCUGACGGUAUCUAACCAGAAAGCCACGGCUAACUACGUGCCAGCAGCCGCGGUAAUACGUAGGUGGCAAGCGUUGUCCGGAUUUAUUGGGCGUAAAGCGAGCGCAUGCGGUUUCUUAAGUCUGAUGUGAAAGCCCCCGGCUCAACCGGGGAGGGUCAUUGGAAACUGGGAGACUUGAGUGCAGAAGAGGAGAGUGGAAUUCCAUGUGUAGCGGUGAAAUGCGUAGAUAUAUGGAGGAACACCAGUGGCGAAGGCGGCGCUCUGGUCUGUAACUGACGCUGAGGCUCGAAAGCGUGGGGAGCAAACAGG